GGAGCCUUCUGGACAGGCGUGGUCAAGCUCGUCUCCUCCGCCCUGACCCUCUUUGCUGAGCCAGAGGCCGCGGCACCCUUUAUUUUGUGGGCCUUGAGGCCCCUGGCAAGCAUUCGUGCUGCUUCGACGUCCAUUCCUUAAAAAAAAAAAUCAAUCAAUCAAAAAUUAGAAGUCAAUAAUGAGGUGAAAAAGGAAGGAGUAGCAUGCAAAAAAAAAAAAAAAAA
rnacentral:lncRNA from 1 species